rnacentral:rRNA from 1 species
AUGUCGAGCCAAUCCCCAUCCUAUGUUAAUUGGGGGGAUUUUAAUAUCCUUCGAUAUCAGCAAGAAAAAAACAACGAUCGGUUUGACACUAGGUGGCAUUUCCUCUUUAAUGAUGUUAUUGACAGCCUGGAUUUGAGGGAGAUCACGAUGUCUGGUCGUCAGUAUACCUGGGCCAAUAACCGAUCGGUGCCGACCUUUGAAAAACUGGACCGGGUGCUAGUUACCACUGACUGGGAAUAUAAAUAUCCCCUAGCCUCGGUUCGGGCACUAGAAAGAAUUGAGGCCUUAUCGGAUCACGCUCUGUUGCUAACCGAUUUUGGACAACCUACCCAAAGUUCUAAUCGUCACUAG